rnacentral:lncRNA from 1 species
UCGUGUUGAAAAGAUGCCCUACCUAUGUUCCUUGGGCCUGCGUGGGCCCACACACUGACACAUUAGCCACAGAUGGCUUAGCCACGGCGACUCACAGGACCGAGAAGGCGAGGCGGCCAUCCGGCUCCGGCGCGGCGGAGGCGAGCGAGCUCGCGCCCUCCAAGCCACCCCGUCCCUGAUGCGGGGCUCUGGAGGCCGGACGGCCACGUCAUGCGCGCGAGCGGGGAGCGGCCGGCGACUCGUCUGACUCCCUCAGGUCCGCCUCCCUCGCCGUCGCCGCCACCGGAUUCCGUUGAAUCACUCGCCCACCCCAGCCUGGGUUCCACCUCGCUUCUGCUCAUGGUAUUAACAGGCCCCCUUUUAUUACUGCACCACUCACGGGUCACACGAUGCAAACACAGUUGCAUACGAGUCAAAUAGAUUGCAAAUUACAGUUGCAGAUGGGCAAAUAUUUUACAAAUUGGCAUGUUCCGAAGAAUACAAAUGCUCAGCACUAUGAAUUUAACAAGUCUGAUAAACCAAAUAAGACUACGGAUACAUGAACAAGUAAAUAGUAGCUCCUUCCAUCCAUCUAUAGAGAAAUCACAACUUCAGCAAUCAGCACUUGUUUAUUGUAGUGGACUGAAUGCUGAUACCACUGUGGUUGCGGCUGAACCUGCUCAAUCUGUGGUGGUUUGCUUCCUCGUCAUCCUCGCCCAAUUCACAACCACAAGCACAUAAAUUUUAUCAAAAACCGCAUCAAAGAGCCGGAAAUAGGAGGCCCUCCAUGUUUUCUUGAAGAGAAGGGAGCAGAACACCACCCAGAGGCCAACCACGAAGCCCACGCUUAGCCCGAAACAGAAGGGCAUCGCCUCGGAUCCUUCUUUGCUCGCUGUGAAGUGGCUUUCUGCUGUGUGGUCUCCCGGACAGCUCUUCUUAAGAGGAGGCCCGCAGAGGCCAGGGUUGCCAAUGUACAUGGAUGCGGGGUCGGAAGGGUUGAGUGUGUCGAGCUGGUGCCCCGACGGUAUCCUUCCUGAUAAUUUGUUGUAGGACAAGUUCAGAUAGCUUAGUGAUGUUAGAUCGGAUAGGCCCGGAGGGAUUUCGCCAGAGAGCUGGUUGCUGGAGAGGUCAAGUGAUUCCAGUGAGUGCAUGGAGCUAAUGUUCUCUGGGAUUUUUCCGGUCAAGUGGUUCAAAGACAGAUUCAUAUUCACUAAACCUGCUGCAGGACCUAUGCUUUCGGGGAUAUUUCCAGUUAAAUGAUUGCAGGAUAAAUCAAGACUCACCAUGUCUAUGAAUCGACCAAUAUAUUCGCGCCCUUGCCCUUUUGUGACUACAAAUAUGCUAGCAAUCAUAGCAUACUCAUACCCACCACCAGGAUGUUGGGGGUCAUCUACUACAGUAAUGCCAUCAUCUACUGUAGCCAUGUCGCUGGAAGUGCUGGAUGGGUAAUCCCGAGCUGCUAAUUCUGUGGUCACGCCAUCCAUGUUUAGCAGGGAUCGAGGUAUAGUACCUGAUAAGUUGUUGUGUGCUAGGUCCAAAUAUUGGAGAUAUCGAAGUCCUCUAAGUUGGGUAGGUAUACAGCCAGAAAACAUGUUGGACCUGAGGCGCAGAUAUUUCAGCCGUGGUAAUUUCUCACCAAUCCAAGGUGGUAUACUUCCAAAAAACUUAUUUUGCCCAAGAUCGAUAAAAGUUAGUUCUGGGCAAUUCUGUAAUAACAGAGGGAAUUCACCCGAGAGGCUAUUGUUGUUGAGCCUCAGAGUUUUAAUUGACAUAGACAGUGAUAUCUCAGAGCUUGAAUCACUAUCUGGAGAGGCUGUGUUAGGUGGCACCAUUCCUGAACUUGACGCCACAUUUUCUGAACAUCGAGGGAACUGACCUGUUAUCAUAUUGUUUCUAAUGUCAAGCAAUGUCAGUGACUUCAUUUGGCAUAACGAUGCUGGGAUAGUGCCCGUGAAAUGGUUGUCAAAUAGAAGCAAACUGUCUAUGAAUAAUGGCCAUCUGACAUUUAAUGGCAGAGCCCCUGACAGGGAGUUUCUUGAGAGAUCUAGUCCCAUUAUAUUCUGAGGCAGCUGUUCUACCGGACCAAUGAACUGAUUCGAGCUUAGAUCUAAGAAACUGGUGUCCAUCUGUCCAAGAGUAGCUCGUAAUGUGCCACUGAUGUUAUUGUUUGAGAGGUCCAAAACGUCAGCCUUUCUAAACACAGUCCAAAACCAAUCAGGCAUGGUAUCAGCUAUGCUGGCAUUGGACAUAUAAAGGGAGGAGAUAUUCUUUGGUGAUUUGAGCCACUGAGGAAAUCUCGGCCCAAGAUAGCAUGAUCUUAAUCCCAGUGUGAGCAAUCUCCUUGGAGGGAUCCAGUCAGAGUUCAGCUUCAUGGUAAAGGAAUUUCCAGAUAAGUGCAGCUCCUGCAACUCUGUAAGCUUGGAGAAGUGCUCUUGAGUGAUGAGACCAUCCAUCUGAUUGUACCCUAUGUUCAGAUAAAUCAGGUUAGAAAGCGUGCCUAUCACAGUGGUCAGAGGUCCUGUAAGCCUGUUGAAACUGAGAUCAAGAGAGCUCAAGCUAGUCAUGUGGCCGAUCCAGUCUGACAACGAGCCAGUUAUGUUAUUGUGGCCCAGAUGCAGCUCCUGCAACUGACUCCAUGAACAUUUUGGUAACCUCUCGAUGAACUCCGUCACGUCCCCUUGAACAUCAUUAUAUGCCAAUUCAAAUAUUCUCAGGCUGCAAAGGCUGGUCAGUGUGUCUGGUAUCAUUCCCUUUAUAUGGUUCUCCCUCAGCUGAAGGACUUCAAGUGAGGUCAAGUUUCCCAGUUGUGCAGGAAACACGCCAUAUAUAUGAUUGGACUCAAGGUUGAGAUAUUUCAGGCUGCUUGCAUCCCAAACCCAGCUAAUAGCGUCAAACUGCAUUUCAAUGGAGUUCCGAAAGAGGUCGAGGAUCUUGAGCCUGGUGAGAUUCGAGCGAGGCAUAUAGUGGUUUGUGGUAAUAAGCGAACAUGUUGAUAGCCUGAGGACCUCAAGAGAGGACAGCAUGUUCACUGUGUCAGCCCAGCCUAUCACGGCGCUGAGGUUCGCAAAACUCAUGUCAAGAUGCUUGAGCAAAGAGAGCUGUGACAGCCACGUGAGAUCUUCUGAGUGCAGACCAUAAGAUCUCAGAUCAAGGUAUCGCAACCUCGAGAGGUUGCCAAGCUGAUGGGGCACCAUGCCAGAAAAAUUCAGGCCCGAAAGGUUGAGGUACCGCAGGUCACUAAGAGACCCUACGAAGUCUGGAAGGCCGCCUUGAGGCCCGGUGAGAUGGUAGUUUCCACCAAGGUCGAGGUGUUGCAGAUGCUGCAGGGUUUUCAGAGAAGAACUGAUCUCACCUUCCAGGGAAGACCGGAUGUACCGUGCAUGAAGGUCAAGCUCAAUGACAUGGCCGGUCAUGUUGCUGCAGCUGACGCCCUCCCAGUGACAGCAGUCUUUCCCUCGCCACGACGAGAGGAGGCGCUCCGGGUCCGCUGUGAUGCCGGCUUUGAUGGACAGCAGGGCCUCCCUCUCCCUCGCGAUGCAUCCUCCUCGAUCACGCGUCCUCCAUGAAUCAGGUUUGGACCAUCCUACUGUGGUUUGUGCGAGCAGGAGCAGGAAGACUGCAAGUGCAAGCAUGGUGGAUUGGGAUCUCAGAAAGAACCAGCCCAUGUUCUUCUUAGGUAGUGCUAGUCCUGGUUUGUUGUACAAUUGGUGUUAGUGGUGUUUAUCAUUGCUGAAUCUAAUUGUUAUUGAUAAUUAUAGGAGCAGAUUUCAUGCUCAGUCAACAUCUGAUAUGACAAGGAUACUAUUCUGGUCAAGCUGCAGUGUGCUGAAUAUUGCGAUUUUUCGGCAUUGCAUUAGCUGCAGUCAAACUGAUUGUGGACAAAACAGAGAAGGAAAAGAGAGCGUUCGGCAGGAUUGACCCCAUUUUCAUCCUAGCUGCGGGAGUCAAUGGCUAGCUGUUCAUUUGAUACAGUCUAGUCACGUACAGUAUAUGCGGUUUGUUUUCAGUUUUCUAUGUAACGCAGAAUACUUACUGUAAAGUUAGUUUGUUAACGAAGAUAAAAAAUAUACUUACUGUAAAGUUAUUUUGGGACGGAGGGAGUAUCUGAUUGUCAAAUUUAAUUCUUGUUGACAUUAGAGUAGCAAAUUGCAUGUUCGGUCUACAACUCAUACAGGAACAGUGGCCUGAACAAUUGCAACUUUUCAGCAUCGUAUUAACUGCGUUCAAAUCAAAAGUUGGAACAUAGAAGAAAAGAAAGAAAGCAUUCAGCACUUGCGAGGAUUGACCACAUCCACAUGGAGGGAAGAGGGUACAAAAGAGACAGUUUGUGUUAAUUAUCUCCCUGUCUUGCUAGAUGUUCUAACUGUUCUUAAGGUACACUUUAGUGACUUUAGUCGUACGUAUGCAGUUCGUUUCCUUCCAGUUCCACUCUCCGUGUAACACAAAUACACAAAUUAUUUACUGUAAAGUUAGCUUGUUGAUGAGGAGAAAAAAAUUGUUUCAUCAUCUGACCCUGCUAUGUACCAUUGACUUGCAGAAUAAUGGCCAUCUCUGAUUCCAUCGUCAAAAAAGAAAAAAACACAAGGUAAAGAAACAUAAUGUUGAUGCCCAGGCCUUCAAAUUUGAGAAAGCAGGUACCGGCGUAGUAACAGACAUAGAAACCGGAAACCAAAAUGGCCGAGAUUCCCCAGCUAGGACGGCACUCAGAAAACAGAGGAUCAGACAGAAACAGAGGAUCUAGCCCCUGUUUUGUUGUGUUACUGAUGUUGGUGGUGUUCAUUCAUAGUGUAAGGUUAAUGAAAAAAUGUACUAGUAGUGUAUCUCAUUGUCAAGAUGCGGUGGCCUGGAUAAUUGCAAUAUUGCGAGCAUCGUAUUUAAUUGCGGUCAAAUAAAAGUUGGAAGUUGGAACAGAUAAAAAAAUAAAAUAAAAAUCAUUCAGCAGUUGCCAGGAUUGACAAUGGUCCAGUGUUUGUCUCUGUCAUAUGCUAGAGUUGGUGGAGCAAAUGGCUAGCAUUCAUCAAGUAUAGUUUAGUAUGUAUGUGCAGUUUGUUUCCAUUCCACUCACCAUGUAACACAAAUUAUUUUACUGUAAAGUGUAGUAUGUAUCAUUGACAAUGCCAAACACAUUGCUGUCUGACAACAGCGCAAAGGAUGCCAACACGAGUUGAUCUUUCUAGCUUCCAGACGAACAUGGCGGUUUGAUGCAGUUAUCGUGAGAAGAAUGGUGGUUGUGCCGUGGGCUUUAUUUCUUUCUAUCUGUGAUGAUGCAUCAUUACAUUAGAGGCUGUAAUGAACGAUCAUGUGGAACUCGUUGUGCCUUUGUUGUAGAAAAACACAAAUUAUUUAUUGUAAAGUUAUUUUGUUAAUGGAGGAAAAGAUUGUAAUUGUUUGCCCCUGCCAUAUAUAUUUGCAAAUGGAGCAUGAAGUAAAGGAUGAUUAUAUG